GUGGGAGGGGGCUUGCUCCCGAUAGCGGUGGGCCAGUCAGUCAUGUGUUCACUGACCCACCGCUAUCGGGAGCAAGCCCCCUCCCAC
rnacentral:misc_RNA from 1 species